CCCUAACUGACAAGAAUAUUCAUUAACGGUUUUGCCCCAGGGCUUUGUUAACUCUUCUGCCUUUUAUCAUAAUACAGUCUAAAGUGAUCUGGGCUUUCUGGAGAUCUCACAGAACAUCACACUGAUUCAUGACAUCGAUGACAUGCUGAAUGGACAGGUUAAGCAAGAGGCAACUAAUAGUCUGGAGGCCUUGGUAAGACAACUGUGCUCCAUUGGGCAGGAGACAAGCCCCAGGAGACUCAGCAACCUACUACCUAAGGAAAUUUUUGAGAGGUCCUGUACUCCGGUGUUUACCAAGACAUCCUGUCCAAGGUAAAAGACAAAUUUCUGAAUCUUGCAUUCCCUACUUCAAAGAUGGAAACAUAAUGUUUGGUGAGCCAUUUUGGGUUCUGAAGGCAACAUGUUACACAUCUAGGAAUACUUCUCUGGGUCAUAUACUGAGUGAUAUGGAAAGCCUGUCAAUCACGACUGGUGCCCGGACCAAGAGUGAGCUCAGCAGGAAAUCUAAGCUGCAGUGCCAGCAGCUUUUCUGCUUGGGCCAUAUGAUUCAGGAGAUCCUAUGGUGUUGAUGAUGUCAGAAAUGGAAAAAGCUGCACUGUGGCAAGCCCCAGUAAGGGAAUCACAGCACAAGCCGUUGGAGUUCUGGAGCAAGGUCAUGCCAUCUGCAGUGGAGAAUUAUUUGCCCUAUUAGAGCUGGAAUGCUUGACCAUGGGACACCGAGUGACUAUGCAUCCACAUUUGCCCAUUAUGAAUUGGUUUUUGUGAGACCCACCAAGCCAUAAAGUAAAAUAGGCUCAGAAGAAGUCCACAGUAAGAUGGAAAUGGAAUGUCUGGUAUUGAGGCUAAGCAAGACCAAAAGGUGUUAAGUAAGCUGCAUGAACGGGUAGCCUUGAUACCCUUGUUCUCACCCUGGUUACACUAGUGACCCUCCUUCAUCUUGCACAUAUGACCAUCUGUGUGAGAAUCUAAUACAACCAGAGGAAGAACCAAGACUUUGAGAUGAGCUGUCAUGGUCUGUGAAUGCAAGCUGAAAAUGGGAAGCAGCUUCAGUACAGCCACAUUCAGGGUUGACCUUGAGAGACACUGGAGACAGGAGCCUUCCCAAUGUGCAAAGCUGGGAGCAGUGCAUCCUGUCAUUGACUGUGGAAGAAAAAGUAACUCAAAGUGAAGUAUAUGGAUUCCUAGGUAGGUGCCAAUGGACUCUCUUCUAGUCACCUGGAAGGAAAAAACAAAACAAAACAAAACUGGAGGAUAAGAGUGAAGGAGGUCUGGUUGGAGUGAAUAUUGUGAAGAUUUGUAGAUCAUAUACUAAUGUCCAUCAGAAACCACCCAUGGAGGAGAUACUCAACAACCAACCAGACACAAGGACUUGGCCAAUUGAUAUUAACCAACCUUCAUCAUUGAUCCUCCCAGAAUUGGCACAUUGAAGAGGCCUAGACAAGGGUAGAGACAGAAGCUGUGCAUGACCUCAACAGCAUGCAUGCCCAUUACCAAGGCUGAUGUAGCUGCUGCCACUUCUGAAGUUCCAAUCUGCCAGCAAAAGAGACCAAACUGAGUUCCCUAAACGGCACUAUUCUUUGAAGAGGCCAACCUAUCAUUGUAUGGCAAGUAAACUAUGCUGGGCUCCUUCCAUGCUGGAAGAGCCAGUGGUUCAUCUUCAGAGGGAAAGAUAAUUAUUUGGGGUAUGGGUUUGUUUUUCUUGCUCACAGAGCCUCAGCCAACACUACUAUCUAGGGACUUGCAGAAUGCCUGAUUCACAGGCAUAAAAUCUUACACAUCAUGGCAGCCAACCAGGGGACCCAUUCCACAGCAAAGGAGGUGUGGUGGGCCCACGAUCAUGGGAUCUGCUCAUUAUAUCGUAUACAGCACCACCCAAAAGAAGUGGUCUUCCACUGGUGCCUUCCAAAGGGGCAAAUGAAGUGCCAUCUUGCUGUCAAUACCCUGCAAAAUGGGGUGCCUUCCUUUGGGAUGCACUAUGGACACUAAAUCAGAAAACUUUAUAUAGUGUUGUGUCUUCUAUAGGAAACAUAGAAGCAUCUGAGACCCAAAGAGUGGAAGCAAAAGAGGCCUCACUUAUUACCACUCAGUGACCACUGAGGGAUGAGGUGCUUCUUGGACAACUCUGGGAUCACAGAGGUUAGAGAUCCUGGUAUCCAAUGGGGCACGCUCUUAUCAGGGGACACAGCAAAGGUUCCAUUGAACUAAAUGUUACGACUAUUUCCAGGGAACUUUGGAUUCCCUAUAACCAUGUUCCAGCAUGUAAGAAGAGUCACCAAUGUGACAGGGAUAAUUGACCCUGACCAGCAGAAGCAUGAGGUAGGACAGCCCAUCUCAUGCUCAUAAAGAAGAGCAGGACAGAAUAAUGUGCAACCCAGGUAACCAAUUCAGGUACUUCUUGACAGAUCUUGCUCAGUGGAAAUAGUGAACAGACAUGUGUGGCAACCCCAACCUGACUUGGGUACAAUUACCAAGGGCUCAGACCCAGUAGGAAUGAGAGUUUGGGUCACAGCACCAAGUAUGUCAUCAAGACUUUCCCUCAGGAAGAGAGAUCCACAGUUCCACAUAUACAGGGAGCAAAGGAUCUGAGCAGCACAAAGGGGUGGAUUGGGACAUUCAUCCUCAGAGCCUCCUUCUCGAAAACCUGCUGCAACUGUCCAAGCUGGGUCAAUGCUCUCCCCAGGCUGCACUGGCCAGUGACUGGGUAUGGUUGUACUAGAGACGGUCCAUUUCUGCCUGAUGCAGGACUCAUCUAAUGGGCAACCUUCUAGUCUAGAGUUGACUGACUUUCUCAGCACUGUGCCAAGAUCUGAGAUUCUUCCACUCCAUCUUUCUUCCAUGUCUCCUUAAACAGUUCCAAAGCUGCUUACACAGAGUUGAGAUGACACAGAGUUUAUGUGAGACAUACUUGACCACAUCAUCAAUGGGCCAAGGGUUUCCAUGAAUAUGUAAGGCCCACAUUUUGGUAAAGCUGUCCUGGUAGUGAUAUCAAAAUGUUAUGUUCCAUUCCAAUUUCAAUGCAUUAAAACAAAAUUCUUAUCAGAGGACCAUUGGUUGUUCAAGAGCACAUCUCAGGAAUCCUUUCUAGUAAGAUGAGAGUGCAGCCUGGCCUGGCACAACACCAAAUCCCCAGUAGGAGGUCAGGAUUGGAAAAAAGGACAGUUGAACUCUCGUUUGGAGCCGCCUGAUGGAAAACAUAACUGGUUUCAUCACUUAUAGUCAAGACCAGAAGAGAGAGAAAAGAUGAAGUUAGGAAUGGAGUCGGUGAAGGCCCCAGGCAGCAGCACUCCUGGAAUCUGACAGCAGGCACUCAGCCCAGCCACUUUUUCACUCUCUUGUAAUCCAGAAGAAAUAACAACAACACUCCAUACCCCCUGAGAUCUGCAAGUUUAGAACACUGAUUCCACCAGCGUUUGAAAUCUUAGGUUGGAACAGAAAUUGGAGAGCAUUCGAAUGAGGACUGCAGAGACAGCCACAAGAGAAACCAACUCUAGGAUGGCCAAAAAAGGAACCAUUUUCUCUUACUGCCUGGGAUACAUGUACCUCUAAGUGGAAAGAAGAAACCUAGGAAGAAAAAUUUUUGUUCUCUGAGCUGCUCUGCUAUUGUAGGAAAUAGAGAAACAUAAUAGUCAUUAUGUUUACUAUUUAUCUUUCCAAAAGGGGUAAAAAGGUUUUAAUCAAAAUCAUUACCCUCUUAGAGGAGUGGAAUAAAGAAUAUGUGUGUUGGGAGGGAAAUCUUUACUUUGUAAAAGCUGCCAUCCUCAGCAGCCUAGAUUAAAUACACACACAUCGUUUAUGAUAUAUUUAUUGACUCAACAAAUAUUACUAAGUGUUUCUGAUAUGUCAGGAAGCCCACCUGGCAGUUAGAUACAAUGGUGACCAAACACAGAAGGUCCUAAAAUCUUUAGCUUCAGGAAAUGGUCCAAACACUGGACGUUCUUGCUCUUGGGGUUUAUUAAUGACUUCUGAAAACUUCCACCAAGGGAGAAAAUCUGCAGGACAAGGUGGACUCAUAAGAAAAAGCAAGGUGUCCACAAAAGAAGGUGCUAGCAAACAGGUCAGAUAUUUCAAAGCUGUUUUAAUGGGCUUAGAGGGUGUUUAGUUACAGAAGAGCAUGGAGGUGAGAGGGAUAAGCUAGCAUAGCAGAGGCAAAAAUGCCAAGCACCCUGGAACUAAGAGCUGGACUCUCUGGCACUCAUCUCAGUAUUGUCCCUUUUUCAUCUAACAUUUUGUCAUUUGGUGAGCUGACCAUUGCAGCAUCCAGGACAGGCUGAUCUGACCUUGACUGAUAAUAUCUGGUUUCAGUGAGGUAAUGUGGACGAUGGCAAACGUCUGUCAUUUGCAUAAAUCAUUUUAAAGAUGAUUUGAGGCAAGAGUUGCUGAUGUCCUAGGAAAAAUGUAAAAAGGCUCUCAUUUUUCAUGUUGUUUGGUUAUUAAGCUCAAAAAUACUAGACAUAGUCUUAUAUGAUGAAAAUACAUUGUGUUGAGAUGGCUUGGUAUUUCCUCCUUCCAUGUGAAACAUGCCACAUUCAUCUCUCAGGGAAAGUUAUUGGGCAAACAUCACAUCUAUUUUUAACUAAAGGCAAACUGCUAUGGAACUCAAACCAGAUGCUUGGCUGCAUACCGUCUGUCUGGGUUGCAAUCGCUUAAUGUACAACUACUUGUAAUACUCAAGUCCUCAGUACUUAACUUGUCCUGUCUGCCUGCCUCUGGCUAUUGGCCUGAUUUUGCCUCUGUUGGAUUUUCUUUUUUUUUUUUUCUUAGAUAAUUCCCAACCCAAACCCAUAAGAAGUAAUCAUGGGGGAAGAGAGGAAAAAAUAAAACCAGAUGAAAUCAGAGAGGGAGACAAACCAUAAGAGAUUCAUAAUCAUAGGAAACAAACUGAAGGGUGUACCAGUUGUGAUUCCUCCGUUGGCUCAGAAUAAAAGGUGGGAAUGAUCAUGUAUGGUGAUUCUGAAGAACUCAUUGCAGAAACACGGGGCGCCUGGAUGGCUCAGGUGGUUAAGUGAUUGCCUUCGACUCAGGUCAUGAUCCCGGGGUCCUGAGAUCAAGCCCUAUGUCAGGCUCCCUGCUGAGCAGGGAGUCUGCUUCUCCCUUUUCCCUCUAUGCUUUUGCACAGACUCU